rnacentral:rRNA from 1 species
CCUACGGGCGGCAGCAGUGGGGAAUAUUGGACAAUGGGGGGAACCCUGAUCCAGCCAUGCCGCGUGUGUGAAGAAGGCCCUCGGGUUGUAAAGCACUUUCAGUGAGGAAGAACGCCUGGUGGUUAAUACCCAUCAGGAAAGACAUCACUCACAGAAGAAGCACCGGCUAACUCCGUGCCAGCAGCCGCGGUAAUACGGAGGGUGCGAGCGUUAAUCGGAAUUACUGGGCGUAAAGCGCGCGUAGGUGGCUUGAUAAGCCGGUUGUGAAAGCCCCGGGCUCAACCUGGGAACGGCAUCCGGAACUGUCAAGCUAGAGUGCAGGAGAGGAAGGUAGAAUUCCCGGUGUAGCGGUGAAAUGCGUAGAGAUCGGGAGGAAUACCAGUGGCGAAGGCGGCCUUCUGGACUGACACUGACACUGAGGUGCGAAAGCGUGGGUAGCAAACAGGAUUAGAUACCCGGAUAGUC